GGCUCAGGAUGAACGCUAGCGGCAGGCUUAACACAUGCAAGUCGAGGGGCAUCGGGAGUAGCAAUACUGCCGGCGACCGGCGCAAGGGUGCGUAACGCGUGAGCAACAUGCCCGUAUCAGGGGGAUAAUCCAUGGAAACGUGGUCUAAUACCCCAUAGUAAUUAUGUAAGGCAUCUUAUAUAAUCUAAAGCUUUGGUGGAUACGGAUUGGCUCGCGUGACAUUAGCUGGAUGGUAAGGUAACGGCUUACCAUGGCUACGAUGUCUAGGGGUUCUGAGAGGAAGGUCCCCCACACUGGAACUGAGACACGGUCCAGACUCCUACGGGAGGCAGCAGUGAGGAAUAUUGGACAAUGGGAUGGAAAUCUGAUCCAGCCAUGCCGCGUGACAGGAAGACGGCCCUAUGGGUUGUAAACUGCUUUUGUAUGGGAGCAAUAAGGGCUACGUGUAGUCCGAUGAGAGUACCAUACGAAUAAGCACCGGCUAACUCCGUGCCAGCCGCCGC
rnacentral:rRNA from 1 species